CGCUGGCGGCACGCCUUAUACAUGCAAGUCGAACGCAGUAGCAAUACUGAGUGGCAGACGGGUGAGUAUGAUGUGGGAAUCUGCCUUUUGGUUUGGAAUAACUCGGGGAAACUUGAGCUAAUACCGGAUAAGCCCUUACGGGGAAAGCUUUAUGCGCCGAAAGAUGAGCCCGCACUUGAUUAGCUCGUUGGUGAGGUAAUGGCUCACCAAGGCAACAAUCAAUAGCUGUUCUUAGAGGAAGACCAGCCACAUUGGGACUGAGACACGGCCCAGACUCCUACGGGAGGCAGCAGUAAGGAAUCUUGCACAAUGGGGGAAACCCUGAUGCAGCGAUGCCGCGUGAGUGAAGAAGGCCUUUGGGUUGUAAAACUCUUUCGUUGGGGAAGAAAAUGACUGUACCCAAAUAAGAAGGUCCGGCUAACUUCGUGCCAGCAGCCGCGGUAAUACGAAGGGACCUAGCGUAGUUCGGAAUUACUGGGCUUAAAGAGCUCGUAGGUGGUUAAAAAAGUUGAUGGUGAAAUCCCAAGGCUCAACCUUGGAACUGCCAUCAAAACUGUUUAGCUAGAGUGUGAUAGAGGAAAGUGGAAUUUCUAGUGUAGAGGUGAAAUUCGUAGAUAUUAGAAAGAACACCAAAAGCGAAGGCAACUUUCUGGAUCACUACUGACACUGAGGAGCGAAAGCAUGGGUAGCGAAGAGGAUUAGAUACCCUCGUAGUCCAUGCUGUAAACGAUGUGUGCUAGACGUUGGAAAUUUAUUUUUCAGUGUCGCAGCAAAAGCGUUAAGCACACCGCCUGGGGAGUACGACC
rnacentral:rRNA from 1 species